CCUACGGGAGGCAGCAGUAGGGAAUAUUGCUCAAUGGGGGAAACCCUGAAGCAGCAACGCCGCGUGGAGGAUGAAGGUUUUCGGAUUGUAAACUCCUUUUGUUAGAGAAGAUAAUGACGGUAUCUAACGAAUAAGCACCGGCUACCUCCGUGCCAGCAGCCGCGGUAAUACGGAGGGUGCAAGUGUUACUCGGAAUCACUGGGCGUAAAGAGGGCGUAGGCGGGAUAGCAAGUCAGAUGUGAAAUCCUAUGGCUUAACCAUAGAACUGCAUUUGAAACUGUUAUUCUAGAGUAUGGGAGAGGUAGGUGGAAUUCGUGGUGUAGGGGUAAAAUCCGUAGAGAUCAAGAGGAAUACUCAUUGCGAAGGCGACCUGCUAGAACAUAACUGACGCUGAUGCGCGAAAGCGUGGGGAGCAAACAGGAUUAGAUACCCCAGUAGUC
rnacentral:rRNA from 1 species